rnacentral:misc_RNA from 1 species
UGUAUGGUAACCUCUAUGACUGAGGUGGUAGUGGUGGUAGUCAUAGUUUUAGAAGCUGUCCUGCUGAAAGUGAUUUACAGUUGUACUAGUACAGAAAAAAUAACCAAUGGUCUUGGUUUAAUUCCAAUUACUAUUUUGCUUCUAUAAGUAACGGGCUUUCAGUUUACCAGUUGCUUUUGAUAGGCAUUGAUCAUAUUAUCGCUUCUUACAUCCCUUGCAUUUGAUAGUAUGCUUUGUUAGCUAUUGUGUUGAGACAUGAUAUAGUCAAAUUAAAUGUACA